CUUGUGUCUGUACCGUUGGACUAUAUCAGGGCUUUUCAAACUCUUUUUCAUAGAUUUCUUUGUAAGCCACAUUAGCUGGAGAGAACUUCAUGGAGAAAGAAGUCAAGAUGAACGAUCAGAGCCUUAAUACUCUCACUUAUAUUUCAACCACAGGAAUCCUUGGUUAGAGCUUCUGCAUCUGCUUGCAGAUGGGAGAAGAGAGUGAGAAAGAAAAGUGGCCAAAUUCAAAUACCUGUGGCACGUUCAAGUGGGAAAAUAAAGAAGAAAAAGCCCAUACCACUUCAGUCUUUUUUGAUUAUAUUAAAUAUCCAGAGUUGAUGAGCUGGAGAAUGCGACUGGCAGCACAGGCCUAGGGCACCAGAGGGCAGACUGUACAGAGACCUGUGAGAAUGGUCAGAACUCCAUGGAUCAUGAUGGAAUGAUCAGGGACACUAUAAUAGCGUUCAUUUUAUGUAUUAAGCCAGAUUUGCACAACAAUUCCAUUGUAAUACAAAUGUAAUCUUUAGAAGUAAUUUUAAAGCAGCAAAUGUAGAAAUGCCAACUCUCAAGUAAAAGAAAACAAUUUUCCUAAGCCAAAUGUCUUUUGUAAGAGAUUUCAAUGGUCAUUUGAUUUUAGUUUAAAGAUCAUCUGACCUUAUGAUUCACCCGAUUCUUAAAUGCACAUCUCAAAUAUAAUUGUCUUCAUUUGGAGUUAAUGUAUAAAAAAUAAAAACAGUGAAAUAACCCUUUGUGCUUUGUUCUACUGCUGUGCAGUGCUUUUGUCUAACUACAAGAAACUCUAAGUAUACAAUUAUUAGUAUUAAAACUGAUGUCUCCAAGAGUUCAAUGUUAAUUUUACUUAAAAAAUUUAUACUGAAAAAAUGGUUUCUCCAUAUUCCUUGUAAUAUGGCUAUUUAAUCUAAGUUCACUCAGCUCAGUCAUAUAGUCUUUUGAAAACAGAGAUGAUAUGAUAUUUA
rnacentral:lncRNA from 1 species